CUAGGGUAAACAAUAAGCACAGUCCUUUUUUAAUUUUCAUAUAAUCCAGGCACUUUAUUUAUAAAUUCACACAGGAGACAGCAACACAACUAAAGAAACAUAAAUGAACAGGUUUCCCCUUUAAACAAAAACCUAGCUCGUCUGAGCACUGACUCACUUUUUAUAUCCCUCUCUAUCAUGGGUUAAACUAACAAAACUUAUCAUUGGGUUGCACCAACCUUAUUAGAUAGCAACACUCUGCUCCCCUUUCUGCACUCCAGUGCUCUCAGCUAGCCUGCUCCUUUCCUUUCUGCACUCCCAGUGCUCCAAGCCAGCCUUGACUGCUUCCUUCUGCACUCCCAGUGCUCCAAGCCAGCCUUGACUGCUUUCCUUUUGCACUCCCAGUGCUCUUAGCCAGCCUUAACUGCUUUCCUUCUGCACUCCCAGUGCUUAGUCUCCUUGACUCUUUCACAGGAGAGAAUAGUGUCUCUCCUACCUGCUUCCAGGAAGGAAGCCAGCAAUCCCCCUUUCACCUGCCUAGCAGGGAGGGGUGUAUUCCCACUGCUGCAGCUGAUUAUCCACAGCUAAGCAGUGGGUUGGAGACAGUGUAAAACUCUGGCCUGGACAUUAUUUCUCCCAGUAAUUAUGUAAACUGAGGAGUGGAGCAUUGGCCCACCCUGCUCUCCAAAUGCUCCACCCCAGGGGCCCAUAACUAAACGUAGGUUUGUGUUGCACACCACACAUACAACACACAAUGCCUUCAC